AACGAACGCUGGCGGCGUGCCUAACACAUGCAAGUCGCGCGAGAAAGUGGGGGCAACUCCACGAGUAAAGCGGCGCACGGGUGAGUAAUACGUAGGUAACCUACCUUCGUGACCGGGACAACCUUCCGAAAGGAGGGCUAAUACUGGAUAAGACCACGAAGCUUCGGCUUUGGGGUUAAAGGUGGCCUCUGCUCGCAAGCUACCACUCGAAGAUGGGCCUGCGCACCAUUAGCUAGUUGGCGAGGUAACGGCUCACCAAGGCUAAGAUGGUUAGCUGAUCUGAGAGGAUGAUCAGCCACACUGGGACUGAGACACGGCCCAGACUCCUACGGGUGGCUG
rnacentral:rRNA from 1 species